CUUUUACACUUGCCUAGCCAGCCUCCAAAAUCAUGUUUACAAAGAGGAAAUAAAAAUGCCAGUAAGAAAUGUGAAUAACUCCCAAAUCCCAGAGAAACUGGAGAUGGAAAAAUCCACUGCAGCUCCAAAUUGACUUUCUACCACUACUGAUACUUCUCUUGCUGUGAUCACUACAAUCCCUACUCUCUACACCAGUUUGGAUGCCAUGCUGCUCUCCAAGUUAAAGAUGCAUCACUGCAGAUGACUAAGGCCCAGGAUAUCCCAUAUUCUAAGACUGGAAAGUGACAAGCAAUCCCUACUGCACAGACUUAUUGGUAGGAUAUAAACAGAGACUUAAAAACAUCAGAACCUUUUUCUAUGAGUAUAAAUUUUUGUUUUUUAAAGUUCUAACUACUAACCUAACAGUGUACACAGAGUUCCAGUUCUUGACUACUAAGAAAAUCCAUGAGUCUCCAUGCUCCAGGAAUUGUUUUCUCCCAGUAUUUUUCCCCCAAUUUUUCUUACUGUAAUAAUCCCAUUAUGCUUCAUUUAUUUAUUCCAGCAAAUGUGCCUAAUUUAUGGCAAAGCAAUGAGUAGGUAUGAGAGUCAAAGUCAUAACUUGGGGGACACCUAGGUCAAGCAAGAUGCUGAGUUAAAUUUUACCUACUAGACUUGGUGUGAAAAUUUUGCUUUUUUCCUGAAGUUAAAAAGAAAGAGAAUUUCCAAGGUGUGUUUCAGAGUGAAAUGAAAAUUUCAACAAGCACCAUAUAUGGUUGGGCAGAGGUUAGGUCUCCAAAGGUUAGUUAGCACUUGUGAAUUAUUUGUGAAUUCUUCCUGCCUCAUUUAAUAAACUAAUUUAAGAAGAA